GCUAUGUUGAUCGGACGCUUCAAAAGUACCGAGAUCCUAAAAAGUUAGUGCACUUUGGAGGAGCUGAUUCGGGUACGGGGCAUAUUUUUGGAGAGUCCGAAUAGCAUAGACUGGGAGAACCAGAAUCAAUCAUCAUAUUCAUAACCAAGUUUUACUGGUAAUUUCAAUUCCAUCUUCAAUAAUUGAACAGAAUAACUCAUAAACACAUACAAAUUCUCUAUUCAUUAGCACCAAGAAUCCACCUUCACUAAAUCUGGUGAUAAACACUUUAGCAAGAACUCCAUAUAUCCAUUAUUUGCCAAGCAAUACACUACUAUAGUUUCCACCAAAUAUAACAAGAAUCCAACACAUAAAAAUUGAAUCUUUGCAACUAAAAUGACAUUUCAACACCCCCCCAAACCAACUACCUCAACCAAGAACCAGAAAGAGAAAAAAAAGCAAGAGAUCAGCCCAUAAAAGGCUAAGCAAUACUAUAGUUGCCACCAAGUAAAACAAGAACCCAACACAUAAAAAUUGAAUCUUUACAAUUACCUCACCCAAGAAUCAGAAAUCCCAGAAGAGAAGUAAAGCAAGAGAAGCCAUUAUAGGCCAAGCAAUACAAUACUAUAGUUCCCACCAAGUAAAACAAGAAUCCAACACAUAAAAAUUGAAUACUUGUAACUAAAAUGGCAGUUUCACCCUCAUCCAAGAACCAUAAAUCCCAUAAAAGAAGAAAA